rnacentral:rRNA from 1 species
UAGUACGGCGAGUGAGCGGCAACAGCUCAAAUUUGAAAUCUGGCCCUCGGGUCCGAGUUGUAAUUUGUAGAGGAUGCUUUUGGCGCGGUGCCUUCCGAGUUCCCUGGAACGGGACGCCUUAGAGGGUGAGAGCCCCGUACGGUUGGACAUCAAGCCUCUGUAUAGCUCCUUCGACGAGUCGAGUAGUUUGGGAAUGCUGCUCUAAAUGGGAGGUAAAUUUCUUCUAAAGCUAAAUAUUGGCCAGAGACCGAUAGCGCACAAGUAGAGUGAUCGAAAGAUGAAAAGCACUUUGAAAAGAGGGUUAAAUAGCACGUGAAAUUGUUGAAAGGGAAGCGUUUGCGACCAGACCUUUUCCUAGCGGAUCAUCCGGUGUUCUCACCGGUGCACUUCGCUAGGUUUAGGCCAGCAUCGGUUUCUGUAGGGGGAUAAAAGCUCUGGGAACGUAGCUCCUCCGGGAGUGUUAUAGCCCUCUGCAUAAUACCCUUACGGGGACCGAGGACCGCGCUUCGGCAAGGAUGCUGGCGUAAUGGUCGUCAACGACCCGUCUU